AAUGGGCGCAAGCCUGAUCCAGCAAUGCCGCGUGCAGGAUGAAGGCCUUCGGGUUGUAAACUGCUUUUGUACGGAACGAAAAGCCCUGGGUUAAUACCCUGGGGUCAUGACGGUACCGUAAGAAUAAGCACCGGCUAACUACGUGCCAGCAGCCGCGGUAAUACGUAGGGUGCGAGCGUUAAUCGGAAUUACUGGGCGUAAAGCGUGCGCAGGCGGUUUUGUAAGACAGAGGUGAAAUCCCCGGGCUCAACCUGGGAACUGCCUUUGUGACUGCAAGGCUAGAGUACGGCAGAGGGGGAUGGAAUUCCGCGUGUAGCAGUGAAAUGCGUAGAUAUGCGGAGGAACACCGAUGGCGAAGGCAAUCCCCUGGGCCUGCACUGACGCUCAUGCACGAAAGCGUGGGGAGCAAACAGGAUUAGAUACCCUGGUAGUCCACGCCCUAAACGAUGUCAACUGGUUGUUGGGUCUUUGCUGACUCAGUAACGAAGCUAACGCGUGAAGUUGACCGCCUGGGG
rnacentral:rRNA from 1 species